rnacentral:misc_RNA from 1 species
GGAAGGAUCAUUAUCAAAAGUCAAGUCGGUGGCUGAUAAAGCCGCCGUCUACACCCAUGUCUUUUGUGUACUCUUGUUUCCUCGGUGGCGUAAGCUGCCGAUUGGACAAACCAAAACCUUUUUGUAAUUGCAAUCAGCGUCUGAAAAAUAUAAUAAUAUUUUACAACUUUCAACAACGGAUCUCUUGGUUCUGGCAUCGAUGAAGAACGCAGCGAAAUGCGAUAAGUAGUGUGAAUUGCAGAAUUCAGUGAAUCAUCGAAUCUUUGAACGCACAUUGCGCCCCUUGGUAUUCCAUGGGGCAUGCCUGUUCGAGCGUCAUUUGUACCCUCAAGCUUUGCUUGGUGUUGGGCGUCUUGUCGGUAUAACGACUCGCCUUAAAUACAUUGGCAGCCGGCACUUUGGCCUAGGAGCGCAGCACAUUUUGCGAUCGUAGUCCGUUGUACUGGCGUCCAAAAGACCCUUUUACCACGUUUGACCUCGGAUCAGGUAGGGAUACCCGCUGAACUUAAGCAUAUCAAUAAGCGGAGGAAAAGAAACCAACAGGGAUUGCCCUAGUAACGGCGAGUGAAGCGGCAACAGCUCAAAUUUGAAAUCUGGCUCUUUCAGAGUCCGAGUUGUAAUUUGCAGAGGGCGCUUUGGCGUUGGCAGCGGUCCAAGUUCUUUGGAACAGGACGUCACAGAGGGUGAGAAUCCCGUACGUGGUCGCUAGCCCUCGCCGUGUAAAGCCCCUUCGACGAGUCGAGUUGUUUGGGAAUGCAGCUCUAAAUGGGAGGUAAAUUUCUUCUAAAGCUAAAUACUGGCCAGAGACCGAUAGCGCACAAGUAGAGUGAUCGAAAGAUGAAAAGCACUUUGGAAAGAGAGUCAAAUAGCACGUGAAAUUGUUGAAAGGGAAGCGCUUGCAGCCAGACUUGCCUGUAGUUGCUUACCUAGACUUUUGUCUGGGGUACUCUUCUGCAGGCAGGCCAGCAUCAGUUUGGGCGGUUGGAUAAAGGUCUCUGUCACGUACCUCUCUUCGGGGAGGCCUUAUAGGGGAGACGUAAUGCAACCAGCCUGGACUGAGGUCCGCGCAUCUGCUAGGAUGCUGGCGUAAUGGCUGUAAGCGGCCCGUCUUGAAACACGGACCAAGGAGUCUAACAUCUAUGCGAGUGUUUGGGUGUCAAGCCCAUACGCGUAAUGAAAGUGAACGGAGGUGGGAACCUUAGGGUGCACCAUCGACCGAUCCUGAUGUCUUCGGAUGGAUUUGAGUAAGAGCAUGGCUGUUGGGACCCGAAAGAUGGUGAACUAUGCUUGAAUAGGGUGAAGCCAGAGGAAACUCUGGUGGAGGCUCGCAGCGGUUCUGACGUGCAAAUCGAUCGUCAAAUUUGGGCAUAGGGGCGAAAGACUAAUCGAACUAUCUAGUAGCUGGUUCCUGC